AGCGAACGCUGGCGGCAGGCCUAACACAUGCAAGUCGAACGAACCCUUCGGGGUUAGUGGCGGACGAGUGAGUAACACGUGGGAACGUGCCUUUAGGUUCGGAAUAACUCAGGGAAACUUGUGCUAAUACCGAAUGUGCCCUUCGGGGGAAAGAUUUAUCGCCUUUAGAGCGGCCCGCGUCUGAUUAGCUAGUUGGUGAGGUAAUGGCUCACCAAGGCUACGAUCAGUAGCUGGUCUGAGAGGAUGACCAACCACAUUGGGACUGAGACACGGCCCAAACUCCUACGGGAGGCAGCAGUGGGGAAUCUUGCGCAAUGGGCGAAAGCCUGACGCAGCCAUGCCGCGUGGAUGAUGAAGGUCUUAGGAUUGUAAAAUCCUUUCACCGGUGAAGAUAAUGACUGUAGCCGGAGAAGAAGCCCCGGCUAACUUCGUGCCAGCCGCCGCCGUAAUAC
rnacentral:rRNA from 1 species